rnacentral:piRNA from 1 species
UGGUGACUUUUGCUUUCUCUAUGAACUGC